rnacentral:misc_RNA from 1 species
AAGGAUAUAUUCGGAACAUCUUCUUCAGAAGAUGCGGAAUARCGUGACAUAUUGUAUUCAGUUUUGAAUGUUUAUUUAACAUUCAAAUAUUUUUUGGUURAAGYGAUAUUGCUUUUGAAAAUAAAGCAGUAUGCGAGCGCUUGACUAAAAAGAAAUUGUACAUUGAAAACUAGAUAAGUAAGUAAAAUAUAGAUUUUACCAAGCAAAACCGAGUGAAUAAAGAGUUUUAAAUAAGCUUGAAUUCAUAAGAAAUAAUCGCUAGUGUUCGAAAGAACACUCACAAGAUUAAUAACGCGUUUCCUGUAGGAUGGAAACAUA